UACGAGGGGGGCGAGCGUUGUUCGGAAUUAUUGGGCGUAAAGGGUGCGUAGGCGGUUUGGUAAGUCUCUUGUGAAAUCUAUGGGCUCAACUCAUAGUCUGCAAGGGAAACUGCCGGGCUUGAGUGUGGGAGAGGAGACUGGAAUUUACGGUGUAGCGGUGAAAUGCGUAGAUAUCGUAAGGAAGACCAGUGGCGAAGGCGGGUCUCUGGACAGUUCCUGACGCUGAGGCACGAAGGUCAGGGGAGCAAACGGG
rnacentral:rRNA from 1 species